CUUAGAAGUGAAUCCUCUGUAAAAUACGAGUUGAGCUGCUGAAUUUUUCGAGUUUGAAUGAGAGACUGCGCCGUUUCUGAAAAUGUUUUUUUCUCAUUAGCGCCGCCAUUUUUGUAAUAGAGGGUAAAGAAAUAAGUAACAAAGUAAGAGGUGAGCAGAAGCGGCCCAAUUUAGCUAUAUGCCAUGCAUGCGAUCAAAAUUGAAUGGUUAAAUGGCAGCCACUAUGUUACAUCUUGUGU
rnacentral:lncRNA from 1 species